UGAAUAAAACAAAUCAAAAUUACAAAACAAUGAUAUAACAGAACUUAUGUAAAUAAACUAGUAAGUCACUGAAGCGGCUACUACCGCUUGUGCGUGACUAUACAGUGAACAAUACACUUCUACAUAUAUUUAUCAACAGAUAAUAUAAAACACUUCUUUACAACACUUAAAUAUCUAUAAAACACUAAACUUAAUUUUUUUGACUUAUGAUGUUAUGAAAUAUUUCUCUGCCUCUUUCAUGAAUCCAUAGCUUUACUUUAUGCUUAAAAGAGCUAUAUACAUUUAUAUUUUUAAGAUUAUUUGGUAAAAUAUUAUACAACCUUGAAGCCAGAUAGUUAAAAUUUCUUUGUCCUAUUGUUUUUACAGACCUUGGAUUAACAUAAUUGUCUCUGUUUCUAGUACUAUAUGGGUGAUUUAUCGAUUGCGGAAUUAAAUAUUUUUUUUUAUAGUUUUUUAUUAAAAUAUUAUAACAAAAUAAUUGACGUACAUCCAUUAAACCGCUUUCUCUGAAUAACUGGUCGCUAGGGUAAGUAAUGGUUUUUUUAUAUAUCAAUUUAAUUAUCCAUUUUUGAAUAAUAUUUAAAUUUUGUAGGUGGCUAUCAGAUACUCCACCCCAACCAAUUAUACCAUAAUUCAAGUGUGACUGUACUAAGGCAUAAUAUAAUAUUUUUAAGUGGUUCCACCGUGCAUGUCUGUCUAUAAUUACACCCAGAUAUUUUAUAGACUCUUCUUCAGGUAUAUUUGUAUUCUGAUCAAUAAUUAGUGGACCCAUAUGAGGUAAACGUGCUGCAUAGGACGUAAAUGGAAGAAAUUUGGUUUUUUCUACAUUUAAGGUCUGACCAAGAUUCUGAUUCAUACCACACAGCAGUAUCAUCAGCAAAACUUAGAAUGGAACCAUUUACGUUAAGGCACAAAUUUCAUCAUGGCCUGGAGAUUUCUUCGAUUUUAACUGAUUAAUAAUUGAAUUCACUUCAUCACAAUCUGUAUAAUGUAAAUACAUAGUAUUUUCCAACAUAUCAUUUAUCUUAUGUGUACUUACAUUUUUAAUUUUAUUUGCAUAAUUCUCGCCCAGUUUACUGUAAUAUGAAUUGAAAAAAUUUGACAUUUCAUAUUUAUCUGUUAUUAUUUUAUCACCACUAAUUUUAAUUUCAUUUA